UACGUAGGGUGCGAGCGUUGUCCGGAAUUAUUGGGCGUAAAGAGCUUGUAGGCGGUUUGUCGCGUCUGCCGUGAAAAUCCGGGGCUCAACCUCGAGAUGUCGGCGGAAACCACUUGGCUAGAGUCCGGAAGAGGAGAGUGGAAUUCCUGGUGUAGCGGUGAAAUGCGCAGAUAUCAGGAAGAACAUCUAUGGCGAAGGCAGCUCGCUGGGACGGAACUGACGCUGAGGCGCGAAAGCGUGGGGAGCGAACAGG
rnacentral:rRNA from 1 species